rnacentral:lncRNA from 13 species
AUGGAGCUCUCCCUGUGUUCUCUGUCAGUGCUGACGCUAGUGGCUGUUGUGUUCAUGGUACCAAUGAAAGACAGAAGUGAGGAUGUGUUAAGCUUUUUGAAUGGUGCCCUUGAUGUUGCUCCCGCUACUCAAAGCACCUCAGGAAAAAUCAAAGGUCCCGAGAACACCUUUGGUAAACCAGCUCCAACCCCAGCAAGACCAAGUCCUUUAAGACCAACAGAGAACUCUGCAGAAAUCUCUAAUGUUACGCAGACUGCAAACUCUGCUUGUUUAACAGAUGUUGUAGACUCAGAUGCCAGAUCCAAAGAGAAAUGCAACUCCAAUGAUCUUACAGAUGCAGAACGAUCUGAAAGUAACUCAGCAGAAAGCAGAGGUAUAUUAAAUAUCAAAAUAAUCUAUCACUGAAAUAUCCGUAGGGGAAAAUUAAUCUGGUAAAAUUGACUUCAUAGACUGUUACGGCCAUACCAAUUCUGAUUCUCUCUCUCUCUCUCUCUCUCUCUCUCUCUCUCUCUCUCUCUCUCUCUCUCUCUCNNNNNNNNNNAGAAUUCUCUUAUAAUUACAUCCCAUAGACAUGUAACUAACACUAUGUAAGAGACUGAACAUGACAUCACCUGGGCUUGUCUUGUUGUAGGACAGCAACAGAGACGGAAAAAAUCAUGUGGUUGUAUCAGCCGCCAAACCCUCUACUGAGAUUCAAGAUAUGUCAUUAUCUACUAGAUGAAGUCCUUGGCCAACAGUGUAUUUAAACAAACAUAGAAUUAACAUACUUAGAAUAAAAACGUAUUAAACCAAUAGCACUUAUUCAUAUCCAUAGAUUUUCGUACAAAGAGUAAAAUCAAAAUGGAAUCAGUUGACAGUUCUAACCGACUCUUCAUCCCCAAUACAGUGACAGACGACAGUAGCAGCGAUGAGACUGAC